rnacentral:tRNA from 2 species
CCCACCUUAGCUCAAUGGUAGAGCACUCGGCUGUAGCCCGAGUGGUUCCCGGUUCAAAUCCGGGAGGUGGGA